GAUGAACGCUGGCGGUAUGCUUAACACAUGCAAGUCGAACGGACUCUUCGGAGUUAGUGGCGGACGGGUGAGUAACGCGUGGGAAUCUGGCUUUGGGUUCGGGACACCCACUGGAAACGGUGGCUAAUACCGGAUGUGCCGAGAGGUAAAAGAGAAAUUGCCUGCAGAUGAGCUCGCGUCUGAUUAGCGAGUUGGUGAGGUAAAGGCUCACCAAGGCAGCGAUCAGUAGCGGGUCUGAGAGGAUGACCAGCCACACUGGGACUGAGACGCGGCCCAGACUCCUACGGGAGGCAGGAGUGGGGAAUUUUCCGCAAUGGGCGAAAGCCUGACGGAGAAAUACCGCGUGAGGGAAGAAGGCUCUUGGGUUGUAAACCUCUUUUCUUAGGGAAGAACAGAAUGACGGUACCUAAGGAAUCAGCAUCGGCUAACUCCGUG
rnacentral:rRNA from 1 species